UUUCCUCAUAGCCAAGAGAUGGGCACGUGACCUAGGCUGGAGCACUCAGACUGUCUCCUGAGACAGGAUCUUGCAUCAUCAGAAAUGAACACUUGGAUGACACUUGUCUCCUCAGCAACUCUCAGACAAAAUAGUUGGCCAGUUUCUGUUGGUUCCAGUUCUAUUUCAAGACUGGCUCUCCAGCCUGUCUCCUCUGUGAGCUACCUGAUAACCUUUCAACAAGUUAUCCUUUUGUUUGAUUAGCUGAAGUUGGUUUCUGUUGCUUGCAACCAAGGAACCAUGAUAAAUUAUCAUCUGGUUCAUAAUUUCCAUUUCAUGAACCUCAGAUGGUGAGCAAUACUACAAAGACUUGGAUAGCAGCUGCUAAAAGAGGAGGUGGCUGGAAGCAUCUGAAAUGUAGUCCAGAAUAGUCCUGGGAGGCUAAACAGGAAAAUUGCUCUUGGCUGAGAAGAGCUGCCCUGCUGGGAAGUUAUGGAAAUUAUGAGCCCAUUUCCCCCAGGAAGAGUGGGGGCAGCUCCAGCCAAUGACUGGCUGAUAUCGGGGUACAAAAGCUGGCCCCUUGUCUCCAGCCCCAAGCAGCACAAGCACAGGAAGUUGGCAGAGCCCUACCAUGGGUCAGAUCUACCAGCAGGCAGAAACAAAGAAUGGUGCAGAUGGCAGUGGAAAGGAGCAAAGGCACACCAAAGGUCUGAGAUCUGCAAGCAGGCAGCAGUGAGCAAAGGAACAUAUGGCAGUAGAGAAGAGCAGAAGUGCACCAUGGGGACCAUGCCGACCUAUUGUGUGUCACCCAAUGCUAGCACCAAACUGGGCUGGAUCAGGGGGACAGCGGGGUCCUACUUCAGGUCUGAGAUCUGUGAGCAGGCAGCAGCAAGCAAAGGUUGACAUGGUGGUGAAGAGGAGCAGAACCACUCCAUGGAAAGCAUGCUGACUUGUGUGUCCCCCAAUGCCAGCUCCAAGCUGGUCUGCCAAAGGACAUCAGUCUGAGCCCUACAAUUUAUCAUUCUAUGAGACUUUUUCGAAGCUUUCUUCAUAUCUUCUUUGCCUUUUCUUAAUGAGAACUCAAAUACUCCAACUUCUGAGUACCCAUCCCAUUCUCCUUAUCUAUCUAGAUGGUACCUAAAUGAAGGAGCCAGGUAAGAGUCUGAUUGUUCCCUUUCUCUUAUGUGUUAAGGUAGCUGAUACUUGGGAAAAUUUAGACCCAAUGUUUAGGGAUUUCUUGCUUAAAUUCAGAAUAGAGGUUGGCGUAUGGAGUUUUUAAUAAGUUGUUUUAAGUCACCUCGAUAGAAAUGGCUUUAUUCCUCCAACUAUAAUUUGAACACUGAAGGGAAGAAAAUUGGAGAAGUGCUUAAAAUGAUUAUGAAUGGUGUAAAAUGUUACUGCCAGGGCUGCAGAAUAGUUGAUGGUUUUUUAAACCCAAAGCUUACCCACAGUGUUUUGAUUGCUUUAAGAUUUCCUCUUUAACCCAAAUAUAUCUUCAGAUCUACUCUGGUGACUUACUGGACUUCAUUUUCCUCCUUGUUCUAAAAGUGGAGGGGUGGUUCAUAGUAAAAAAAUUUCAAGAGCUGGAACAUAAAUUCAGAGUUACAUUUGUGAUGUAAAGGUUUGGGAGUUUAAAAUGCCAGAUGCUGCCUGUUCAAGUGUUUGUUUCCAUAGCUCCCUCCUCAUGUCAACAGAAUUAUGUUCAAAGAUGAGAGUGUUAGAGUUCAAACUCUAAUCUCUGAUAGGGAUGGAAAGGGGGGAGAUGAAAGAAAAUUUUUAAUAUUUUACCAUCAGAAAAAGAACGAAUUUAAGUAGAAAUGGUUUUGAAUAAUAUGGUUCUUGAAUAAAAACUA
rnacentral:lncRNA from 1 species